UACGUAGGGGGCAAGCGUUGUCCGGAUUUAUUGGGCGUAAAGCGCGUGUAGGCGGCCAUACAGGUCAGCUGUGAAAACUCGAGGCUCAACCUCGAGACGUCGGUUGAAACCGUAUGGCUAGAGUCCGGAAGAGGAGAGUGGAAUUCCCGGUGUAGCGGUGAAAUGCGCAGAUAUCGGGAAGAACACCCGUGGCGAAGGCGGCUCUCUGGGACGGUACUGACGCUGAGACGCGAAAGCGUGGGGAGCGAACAGG
rnacentral:rRNA from 1 species